rnacentral:lncRNA from 1 species
CGAUGGAAAGGAGAACUUGUCUGAUCCAUUUACUAAAGCCUUUGAAAUCAAAGAGUUCGAGGAACUUAAAUAGAAGAUGGGUAUUAGAUACUGUAUUGAUUGGCUUUAGUCCAAGUGGGAGCUGUUAGAAAAUAUGUCGUAAAGUCGAUCGUUUGGAUGAUUGUGCUCUUUGUAAUUUAUAUAUAAAUUAUGAUUUAAUAAAAGUUAUUUGAC